GACGAACGCUGGCGGCGUGCUUAACACAUGCAAGUCGAACGGAAAGGCCCUGCUUUUGUGGGGUGCUCGAGUGGCGAACGGGUGAGUAACACGUGAGUAACCUGCCCUUGACUUUGGGAUAACUUCAGGAAACUGGGGCUAAUACCGGAUAGGAGCUCCUGCCGCAUGGUGGGGGUUGGAAAGUUUCGGCGGUUGGGGAUGGACUCGCGGCUUAUCAGCUUGUUGGUGGGGUAGUGGCUUACCAAGGCUUUGACGGGUAGCCGGCCUGAGAGGGUGACCGGCCACAUUGGGACUGAGAUACGGCCCAGACUCCUACGGGAGGCAGCAGUGGGGAAUAUUGCACAAUGGGCGGAAGCCUGAUGCAGCAACGCCGCGUGCGGGAUGACGGCCUUCGGGUUGUAAACCGCUUUCGCCUGUGACGAAGCGUGAGUGACGGUAAUGGGUAAAGAGGCACCGGCUAACUACGUG
rnacentral:rRNA from 1 species